rnacentral:rRNA from 1 species
GAGUUUGAUCCUGGCUCAGAACGAACGCUGGCGGCGUGGAUUAGGCAUGCAAGUCGAACGAGAAAGAGGGGGCAACCCCUCGAGUAAAGUGGCGAACGGGUGAGUAACGCGUGAAGAACCUGCCCUUAGCAGGGGGAUAACACUCCCAACGGGGUGCUAAUACCGCAUGAGACCACGGGUUCGCAUGGACCUGAGGUCAAAGGUGGCCUCUGCUUGCAAGCUACCGGCUGAGGAUGGCUUCGCGUCCCAUUAGCUAGUUGGCGGUGUGAAAGACCACCAAGGCGACGAUGGGUAGCUGGUCUGAGAGGAUGGUCAGCCACACUGGGACUGAGAUACGGCCCAGACACCUACGGGUGGCAGCAGUCGAGAAUUUUUGACAAUGGGGGAAACCCUGAUCGAGCGACGCCGCGUGGAGGAUGAAGGUCUUCGGGUUGUAAACUCCUGUCAUUUGGGAACAAGGGGCACGUAUUAACUGUGCGUGCGUUGAUAGUACCAGAAGAGGAAGAGACGGCUAACUCUGUGCCAGCAGCCGCGGUAAUACAGAGGUCUCAAGCGUUGUUCGGAUUCAUUGGGCGUAAAGGGUGUGUAGGUGGCGCCGUAAGUCGGGUGUGAAAUUUCGGAGCUUAACUCCGAAACUGCAUUCGAUACUGCGGUGCUUGAGGACUGGAGAGGAGACUGGAAUUUACGGUGUAGCAGUGAAAUGCGUAGAUAUCGUAAGGAAGACCAGUGGCGAAGGCGGGUCUCUGGACAGUUCCUGACACUGAGACACGAAGGCCAGGGGAGCAAACGGGAUUAGAUACCCCGGUAGUCCUGGCAGUAAACGGUGCACGUUUGGUGUGGGAGGAUUCGACCCCUUCUGCGCCGGAGCCAACGCGUUAAACGUGCCGCCUGGGGAGUACGGUCGCAAGAUUAAAACUCAAAGAAAUUGACGGGGGCCCGCACAAGCGGUGGAGCAUGUGGUUCAAUUCGACGCAACGCGAAGAACCUUACCUGGGCUAGAAUGCCUCUGACAACCCUAGAGAUAGGGCCUCUUAGGGAAACCUAGGCAGAGUGCAAGGUGCUGCAUGGCUGUCGUCAGCUCGUGUCGUGAGAUGUUGGGUUAAGUCCCGCAACGAGCGCAACCCUUAUCAAUAGUUGCUAGCGGUUCGGCCGAGCACUCUAUUGAGACUGCCGUUGACAAAACGGAGGAAGGUGGGGAUGACGUCAAGUCCUCAUGGCCUUUAUGUCCAGGGCUACACACGUGCUACAAUGGCCGGUACAAAGCGCUGCCACGGGGCGACCCGGAGCGAAUCGCGAAAGCCGGUCUCAGUUCGGAUACCAGGCUGCAACCCGCCUGGUUGAAGUCGGAGUUGCUAGUAACCGCGUGUCAGCAUAGCGCGGUGAAUAUGUUCCCGGGCCUUGUACACAC